rnacentral:lncRNA from 1 species
CGAUUCCAAAGUUUUAAUAAGGUUAGCCUAGUUUAAUUGGAGUGGGCUUGAAACCUCUGUUGUCAUAAUCAAAGAAGCAUUCAUGUUACCAAAUUAACGGGGCUUAUUAGGAGAGUGGCCGAGUGCUGAAGUCCUUUGAACACCCAGCCAUAUGGGUAUAUCAAGAAGAGAUCAAACAGGAUGUCAAAGGAGACCUACUGCAAAUGGAUUUGUAUUAUUGAGGCCAUCACACACCGGGCACCCUUUGGCAACAUGGCAGCCACCCUCCUCCUGCUAGUCAUUAUCCUCCCAUGAGCCCUUAGCACGUGGCGCCAUGAAGACUCCACAGAUGGGGAAACUGAGGCUUGGGAACCUCCAUGCCUUGCCUAAGAACAUACACCAGUAGAAACUAGAGGUAAAACUAAGAUUAAAACCCCACCGUCUCUGCCUCCAAAUCUAUUUUUUUUUCUCUGAACACUGAGAUCC